AAGGUGGGGCUGAUGACUGGGGUGAAGUCGUAACAAGGUAGCCGUACCGGAAGGUGCGGCUGGAUCACCUCCUAACAGGGAGACAAAACUGAUUGUGAUGUCUAAGAAAAAAUUCUAAGGCCACAAUCCUGUCACCUUAGGUCGAUCGGUACCUCAGAUUUUGUUAGAAUUAAAUACCUUUUUUCUGGCAAUAAUUUCAGUUCCUAAACUUGUCUAGGUCACACUCAACAAGGGUUCUCCUGGGCCAUUAGCUCAGGUGGUUAGAGCGCACCCCUGAUAAGGGUGAGGUCCCUGGUUCAAGUCCAGGAUGGCCCAUUCGUUGUUGGGGGUAUAGCUCAGUUGGUAGAGCGCCUGCUUUGCAAGCAGGAUGUCAGCGGUUCGAGUCCGCUUACCUCCACUGAUUAACCACCUAAAACAUCCCAAUAAAAGGAGAUUACUUGAUUAGAUGUGAUUUAGUAUUUGUCUAUCUGAAUUGAACCUAGCUUCUUGUCAUUCCAUAGAAAGAAUUUUUUGGCUGAUAAGAUGCUGGGCUCUGUGAAGUUUUUGGCUUCAUUGUAGUUCAGUAGAACCUUGAGAACUGCAUAGGUUCUUUUGAAUCCAUAAAGGAAAAGUCAGGUUGAAUAAAGCUUUUCAAAAGUAAAAACAAGAA
rnacentral:misc_RNA from 1 species